rnacentral:siRNA from 1 species
UACGCUGAGCCGGUUGAGGUGUC